UUGCCCACCCUGGACCGCCCGUGUCCCCGGUGAUCAACACAGGGGGGCAGAUCACCACUGCUCUCAUAAACCUGGGGGAAGGAACUCUUCCUCCCCUCGGAUCCUGUCGGGAGACACAAGC